rnacentral:rRNA from 1 species
AGUUAAAAAGCUCGUAGUUGGAUUUUGGUUAAGAGGGCGCGGUCGGCCGUUUGGUCUGUACUGCGUUGUCUUGACUUCCUGAUGAGGACAUGCUCUUGGUUAACGCUGAGACAUGGAGUCAUCGUGGUUACUUUGAAAAAAUUAGAGUGUUCAAAGCGGGCUUACGCUUGAAUAUAUUAGCAUGGAAUAACACUAUAGGACUCCUGUCCUAUCUCGUUGGUCUCGGGAUGGGAGUAUGAUUAAGAGGAACAGUUGGGGGCAUUCGUAUUUCAUUGUCAGAGGUGAAAUUCUUGGAUUUAUGAAAGACGAACUUCUGCGAAAGCAUUUGCCAAGGAUGUUUUCAUUAAUCAAGAACGAAAGUUGGGGGCUCGAAGAUGAUUAGAUACCAUCCUAGUCUCAACCAUAAACGAUGCCGACUAGGGAUUGGUGGAUGUUAAUUGAUGACUUCACCAGCACCUUAUGAGAAAUCAAAGUUUUUGGGUUCCGGGGGGAGUAUGGUCGCAAGGCUGAAACUUAAAGGAAUUGACGGAAAGGCACCACCAGGCGUGGAGCCUGCGGCUUAAUUUGACUCAACACGGGGAAACUUACCAGGUCCAGACAUAAGUAUGAUUGACAGAUUGAGAGCUCUUUCU